rnacentral:rRNA from 2 species
UGCAGUCGAGCGAAUCGAUGGGAGCUUGCUCCCUGAGAUUAGCGGCGGACGGGUGAGUAACACGUGGGCAACCUGCCUAUAAGACUGGGAUAACUUCGGGAAACCGGAGCUAAUACCGGAUACGUUCUUUUCUCGCAUGAGAGAAGAUGGAAAGACGGUUUACGCUGUCACUUAUAGAUGGGCCCGCGGCGCAUUAGCUAGUUGGUGAGGUAAUGGCUCACCAAGGCGACGAUGCGUAGCCGACCUGAGAGGGUGAUCGGCCACACUGGGACUGAGACACGGCCCAGACUCCUACGGGAGGCAGCAGUAGGGAAUCUUCCGCAAUGGACGAAAGUCUGACGGAGCAACGCCGCGUGAACGAAGAAGGCCUUCGGGUCGUAAAGUUCUGUUGUUAGGGAAGAACAAGUACCAGAGUAACUGCUGGUACCUUGACGGUACCUAACCAGAAAGCCACGGCUAACUACGUGCCAGCAGCCGCGGUAAUACGUAGGUGGCAAGCGUUGUCCGGAAUUAUUGGGCGUAAAGCGCGCGCAGGUGGUUCCUUAAGUCUGAUGUGAAAGCCCACGGCUCAACCGUGGAGGGUCAUUGGAAACUGGGGAACUUGAGUGCAGAAGAGGAAAGUGGAAUUCC